CUCGCCGCGGUGGGUGGAAGGAAGCCCUUCGGGGUGUAAACACCUGUCAGUGGGGAAGAUAAUGACGGUACCCACAGAGGAAGGGACGGCUAACUACGUGCCAGCAGCCGCGGUAAUACGUAGGUCCCGAACGUUGCGCG
rnacentral:rRNA from 1 species